rnacentral:snoRNA from 1 species
AUUCCAUGAUGGGGACAUUCUAGGAUGUAGUCUUGAAAGCGCUCCCAUGCCUCUGGAACAGAUUCAUCAUUUUGAUGCUGAAAACUUGUAAUCUUCCCACGGAGAGC